CCCUUAGAUGUUCUGGGCCGCACGCGCGCUACACUGAUGCAUUCAACGAGUUUUUCCUGGUCCGAGAGGAAUGGGUAACCUUUUGAAAGUGCAUCGUGCUAGGGAUAGACUAUUGCAAUUAUUGGUCUUCAACGAGGAAUUCCUAGUAGACGUAGUUCAUCAGACUGCAUCGAUUACGUCCCUGCCCUUUGUACACACCGCCCGUCGCUCCUACCGAUGAAUCGUCCGGUGAAGUUCAUGGAGUGGUGGUUGUUCCAGCUGCUGUCGAAGUGAAAUGGACCUCACGAUUUAGAGGAAGGAGAAGUCGUAACA
rnacentral:rRNA from 1 species